rnacentral:rRNA from 1 species
GACGAACGCUGGCGGCGUGCUUAACACAUGCAAGUCGAACGGAAAGGCCCUGCUUUUGUGGGGUGCUCGAGUGGCGAACGGGUGAGUAACACGUGAGUAACCUGCCCUUGACUUUGGGAUAACUUCAGGAAACUGGGGCUAAUACCGGAUAGGAGCUCCUGCUGCAUGGUGGGGGUUGGAAAGUUUCGGCGGUUGGGGAUGGACUCGCGGCUUAUCAGCUUGUUGGUGGGGUAGUGGCUUACCAAGGCUUUGACGGGUAGCCGGCCUGAGAGGGUGACCGGCCACAUUGGGACUGAGAUACGGCCCAGACUCCUAGGGGGGGGAGGAGGGGGGAAUUUUGCAAAAUGGGGGGAAGCCUGAUGCAGCAACCCCGGGGGGGGGAUGCCGGCCUUGGGGUUGUAAACCGCUUUCGCUUGUGACGAAGCGGGGGUGACGGUAAUGGGUAAAGAAGCACCGGCUACCCACGG